GAUGAAGAACGUAGUGAAAUGCGAUACGUAAUGUGAAUUGCAGAAUUCAGUGAAUCAUCGAGUCUUUGAACGCACAUUGCGCCACCUGGUACUCCGGGGGGCAUGCCUGUCCGAGCGUCAUUGCUGCCCUCAAGCACGGCUUGUGUGUUGGGCCUCCGUCCUCCUCCCGGGGGACGGGCCCGAAAGGCAGCGGCGGCACCGCGUCCGGUCCUCGAGCGUAUGGGGCUUCGUCACCCGCUCUUGUAGGCCCGGCCGGCGCUUGCCGACACAUCAAUCUUUUUUCCAGGUUGACCUCGGAUCAGGUAGGGAUACCCGCUGAACUUAAGCAUAUCAAUAAGCGGAGGA
rnacentral:misc_RNA from 1 species